AUGUGUCCCUACAGGUACACACGUGUCCCCACAUGUACAUACAUGUCCCAUUCAUGUACACACGUGCCCCAUAUAUGCACAUACAUGUCCCCACAUGUCCUCACAUGUCCCAUACAUGUACACACAUGUCCCCACAGGCACAUACAUGUACAUACAAGUACACAUGUCCCAUAUAUGUACAUAUACGGGACACGUACACAUCUCCACAUGUACAUACAUGUACCAUACAUGUCCCAUACAUGUCCCCACGUGUCCCUACAUGCACAUACAUGUCCCCACAUGUACAUAUAUGUCCCCACAUGUCCCAUACAUUUCCCAUACAUGUCCCCACAUGUACAUACAUGUCCAUACAUGUACAUGUGUCCUGUAUAUGCACAUACAUGUCCCCACGUGUUCCUACAUGCACAUACAUGUCCCCACAUGUACAUAUAUGUCCCCACAUGUACACACAUGUUCCAUACAUGUCCCAUACAUGUAUACACGUGUCCCCACAUGCACAUACAAGUCCCCACAUGUACACGUGUCCCAUAUAUGCACAUACAUGUCCCCAUAUGUACAUACAUGUCCCAUACAUGUCCCGUACAUGUACACACGUGUCCCACACAUGCACAUACAUGUCCCCACUUGUACAUACGUGUCUCAUAUAUUCACAUACAUGUCCCCAUAUGUUCACAUGUGUCCCAUAUAUGUACAUACAUGUCUCCACAUGUACAUACGUGUACCAUAGAUGUCCCAUACAUGUCCCCACGUGUCUCUACAAGCACAUACAUGUCCCCACAUGUACAUAUAUGUCCCCACAUGUCCCAUACAUGUCCCAUACAUGUACACACGUGUCCCCACAUGUCCCCCCCCACCCCCCGCCGGGGCCGGUCUCGAACCCGCGGCCCCUCGGUUCCCGGGCUCCGCUUCCCAUCAUGCCCCUGCCACCCGCCGGCUCCGCGGUGCUCCCUGGGAGUUGUAGUCCAGCGGCCGCCCCCCCCGCACUGCGCAGCGCGGGGCGCGGACUCCACCUCCCAUCACCCCUCGCGCGUCGCCCUGCUCCGACACCGCUCCCGCGCCUUUCCCCGCCUCAGCGGGCGGCCGCCAUUUUGCGUGCCGGCUGAGGCGGCGGCGGCGGGGCAGGAGGGCGCGAUGCUGGGCUCCAGGGCGGCCCGCCCGCCGCCGCCGGGGCUGGCGAGGCUCCUCCGUGCUCAGCCGUGGCCUCCGACCCCUCGGGGAGCCUCCGGAGCUCCGACAGCGACUCCCGGGCCGGCGGCAGCGCCGUUGGUCCCGGGCUCGGCCGGCAGGGGCCGCCGCGAGCCCGCUGUGAGGGGGAGCGCGGCCUUGCCCUGGCGGGGGGCGGCCUGCGGGGGGCGGCAAGGCCCGGGGGGAGCCCCCUCGGCUUUGGUCGCUGCGGGGGGCCCGGUGGUUGAGGGGUGUCCCCCCCAUACCGGCCUCGGAGCCCCCGGUGGGCGGCGGAGGGGCUCCUGUGGGGCUGUGCCGCCUGCGGGCCUGCUCGUCGCCGCGCUGGCUGCCUGCUACGUGAGGGACCGAGCCACUAAGGGUGAUUAUUGGUGUCCCCACAGGGCUAUGGGGGGGUUGGGGAGGGUCUCAGGGGGGAAUUGGGGAGCUCUGAGGGGUGAGGGGGGGUGCUGGGUGCCUGUCCCGGGGGGGUGCUGGGCUGUGGGGGUCCCUCAGGUGCUGGGAAUGAGCCUCAGGGUGGGCACAGCUCCUUGGCUGCUCCCUGGGGUCGUGCCCUGUGUGUCAGAGGACAGCAGGGAGCUGUCACCUCACGCAGGGGGUGUGGGCAGUGCUGUGCACCCACCCUGCUGCAGGAUGCUUGAUUUGCUUCAUCUCCCUGCUUCUGUGCCCUCAGCAGGGGACGUUUCAGGCACAGAGGAGCUGAGCACUUCUUGUGUCCUCAACCCCUGUGGGAAGGAAGCGCUUGGUGGGUGGCCACAGCCCCAGCACUAG
rnacentral:lncRNA from 1 species